rnacentral:rRNA from 1 species
CAAUAGCGUAUAUUAAAGUUGUUGCAGUUAAAAAGCUCGUAGUUGGAUUUCUGGUGGGAGCGAUCGGUCUGGCGCUUAGCGCGAGUACUUGCAUCGUCUCCGGCCAUCCUUGGGGAGAGUCUGUCUGGCAUUAGGUUGUCGGGCAGAGGAUCCUCAUCGUUUACUGUGAAAAAAUUAGAGUGUUCAAAGCAGGCUUAUGCCGUUGAAUAUAUUAGCAUGGAAUAAUAAGAUAGGACUUUGGUACUAUUUUGUUGGUUUGCGCACCAAAGUAAUGAUUAAUAGGGACAGUUGGGGGUAUUCGUAUUCCGUUGUUAGAGGUGAAAUUCUUGGAUUUACGGAAGACGAACUACUGCGAAAGCAUUUACCAAGGAUGUUUUCAUUAA